UACAUAGGGGGCGAGCGUUAUCCGGAAUUAUUGGGUGUAAAGGGUGCGUAGACGGGAGUGCAAGUUGGUUGUGAAAUCCCUCGGCUUAACUGAGGAACUGCAACCAAAACUAUGCUUCUUGAGUGCGGGAGAGGAAAGUGGAAUUCCUAGUGUAGCGGUGAAAUGCGUAGAUAUUAGGAGGAACACCAGUGGCGAAGGCGACUUUCUGGACCGUAACUGACGUUGAGGCACGAAAGUGUGGGGAGCAAAC
rnacentral:rRNA from 1 species